UCAGUUUCAUUGUGUUAGGGAUCCAGGGUUGUUUUAUUCGCAUAAAACAGUAUGUGUCACAUAAUAAGGGUCUCUUGAUAUUGUUACAUAAUUGAAUGAGUUAUAACCCUUAAACUAAUCAAGCCCUUGGUGCAAAAAGUAAGAUCCACUUCUCCUAAGUCAUAUGGCUGUGGUGGGGAGGGUGAAUUACAGAACAAAAUUGAGUUAAUGUUAUGAGAAGGUGUGGGGAGUAAAUGCUACAUAGGCAACCUACAUCCUCACUCUUCAUUUCCCACCACGACCAUCACCAAUAUUGACAGACAGGCAUGUCAAAUCUUAGAGGGGCUUACAGGUCUCAGGUUGUCUUUUCUUCCAAGGAGUCCUGGUCCAAACUAGACAGAUAGAAACUAUUUUUCAGAGCUCUAUUUAUGCUAUCAUCAUUUAGGGUAGAAGGAAUGAUUACUGAUCAAGUCCAGUGGUUUUAUUUAAUCUUUGCUAUUCCAAUAGUUGUAAUACUUUAUAUAACUUACUCUUAGAAUUCUGAGGAAACAAUUUACCUAAAGUUUGCAUGCUAAUAAGAAGGGGGUUUCUCAGCCAGACAAAGUGGCUCAUGCCUGUAAUCCCAACACUUUGGGAGGCUGAGGCUAGAGGAUCACUUGAGGCCGGGAGUUCAAGACCAGACUGGGCAACAUAGGGAGACCCCCAUCUCUAUGAAAAAUUUUAAAAAUUAGCUGGGCGUGGAGGCAUAUACUUGUAGUCCCAGCUACUCAGAGGCUGAGACAGGAGGAUUACCUCAGCCUCUAAGUAGCUGGGAGGGGGGGAAGGUGGGGUUUUCCUGGAAAUAACCUACUAAAGAAAUUAAUGGAAGCAGUAAAAGGGCCUAAGGAAAGCCAUUAGGCUGAUAUCAGGCUAUUCAAAGCACCCCAGCUGGAGGCACCUGAGCAACACUUGGGAAAGGCAGCAAGCUUCAUAAUGAACAUCAGACAUUUAUGGCAUAAUCCAUAAUAUUUCCCAGCAUAUUCUGCUCUGAAGGUUUUUGAGAGCCUGAAGGUAGGGGAUCACCAGGUCUUUUAAGAUCUCCUCCUACACCCCUCCCUCAGAGAAGAACCAAUAUGUUCACUGCAGAGAGAUGUAGAUCGGGUGCCCGGUUGAUGUCAAUCCUAGAAAUCUCUUUCCAUUCUCCUUCCGAAGACCUUUCUUUACCUAAAGGAGAAGUAACUGAGCAAAUGUACAUCAUUUAUGGAUGACAAAAUUGGUGCCUGUGGUUUGAUAACAGAAAG
rnacentral:lncRNA from 10 species